rnacentral:rRNA from 1 species
GACGAACGCUGGCGGCGUGCUUAACACAUGCAAGUCGAACGGAAAGGCCCUGCUUUUGUGGGGUGCUCGAGUGGCGAACGGGUGAGUAACACGUGAGUAACCUGCCCUUGACUUUGGGAUAACUUCAGGAAACUGGGGCUAAUACCGGAUAGGAUCUCCUGCUGCAUGGUGGGGGUUGGAAAGUUUCGGCGGUUGGGGAUGGACUCGCGGCUUAUCAGCUUGUUUGUGGGGUAGUGGCUUACCAAGGCUUUGACGGGUAGCCGGCCUGUGAGGGUGACCGGCCACAUUGGGACUGAGAUACGGCCCAGACUGCUACGGGAGGCAGCAGUGGGGAAUAUUGCACAAUGGGCGGAAGCCUGAUGCAGCAACGCCGCGUGCGGGAUGACGGCCUUCGGGUUGUAAACCGCUUUCGCCUGUGACGAAGCGUGAGUGACGGUAAUGGGUAAAGAAGCACCGGCUAACUACGUG